UGGGCAACCUGCCCCUCUCUCUGGGAUAACCCCGGGAAACCGGAGCUAAUACCGGAUACGACCUCCGCGGGCAUCUGCGGAGGUGGAAAGGUUUUCCGGCUGAGGAUGGGCCCGCGGCCUAUCAGCUAGUUGGUGGGGUGAUGGCCCACCAAGGCGACGACGGGUAGCCGGCCUGAGAGGGCGACCGGCCACACUGGGACUGAGACACGGCCCAGACUCCUACGGGAGGCA
rnacentral:rRNA from 1 species